UGGACCAAAAACUAAAAAACAGACACACACACAAACUCCUUACACUUGACCUUCAAAACCUGCCAAAUACGCUUAGCAAAAGCACAAAGGCCCCAUUCUGGCACUGACCUAUUGCAUCCCCAGCCCCAGACUCCACCUUGCCAGGAGCAGGCUGAGGUGGUGCUGGGCUGCUGUUCUUCACAGGCUCAGUACUUGUCCCUGAGGUAGUUUCUUUUCGAGAAGUUUUGGAUGGAGGUGGCUCUUCGACUACAACACCACUUUGUCGCUGACGUCGCCGUUUCUUACUCCACAACUCAUGGCAAUCCUGCCAGUGGGGGAGGCU
rnacentral:lncRNA from 1 species